rnacentral:rRNA from 1 species
CAGUAGCCGCGGUAAUACGUAAGUGGCAAGCGUUGUCCGGAAUUAUUGGGCGUAAAGCGCGCGCAGGCGGAUCAGUCAGUCUGUCUUAAAAGUUCGGGGCUUAACCCCGUGAUGGGAUGGAAACUGCUGAUCUAGAGUAUCGGAAAGGAAAGUGGAAUUCCUAGUGUAGCGGUGAAAUGCGUAGAUAUUGGGAAGAACACCAGUGGCGAAGGCGACUUUCUGGACGAAAACUGACGCUGAGGCGCGAAAGCCAGGGGAGCGAACGGGAUUAGAUACCCCAGUAGUCCCUGUCUCUUAUACA